rnacentral:rRNA from 1 species
AGUGAACGCUGGCGGUAGGCCUAACACAUGCAAGUCGAACGGCAGCACAGUAAGAGCUUGCUCUUACGGGUGGUGAGUGGCGGACGGGUGAGGAAUACAUCGGAAUCUACCUUUUCGUGGGGGAUAACGUAGGGAAACUUACGCUAAUACCGCAUACGACCUACGGGUGAAAGCAGGGGAUCUUCGGACCUUGCGCGAUUGAAUGAGCCGAUGUCGGAUUAGCUAGUUGGCGGGGUAAAGGCCCACCAAGGCGACGACCCGUAGCUGGUCUGAGAGGAUGAUCCGCCACACUGGAACUGAGACACGGUCCAGACUCCUACGGGAGGCAGCAGUGGGGAAUAUUGGACAAUGGGCGCAAGCCUGAUCCAGCCAUACCGCGUGGGUGAAGAAGGCCUUCGGGUUGUAAAGCCCUUUUGUUGGGAAAGAAAAGCAGCAGGUUAAUACCCCGCUGUUCUGACGGUACCCAAAGAAUAAGCACCGGCUAACUUCGUG